GGGAUUUCUUUGAGGGUAUUGGUUAUCCAUUUAAUCUUGGGUUAAAAUUUUUAAUGCCAAUUAUGUUUGGGCCGAGCUUUGAAGAAAUUUUGAGAUCGAAAGCAUGCUGUCCGGCGUUACAAAAGAUUGAUUUUGGUCAUGACACCUAAACUCAGGGUAAAAAGGAAGGUUAGAGGAGGGGUUCAAGACCCCCAAGUGUAGUAUUCACAAGUCCAGGACUCUUCCUGAUCGAGAGUGUAGGAGGAUGGAGCCGAUAAAAGUCAGAAUAUUCUCGUAGCUCCGAACUCACCUAGUGCUCAAGUUGAUAAGGAGGCAAUGGUAGCCCGAAUUGGGGAAACGGUUAUUGGGUUUUAUGCCCUAAAACUCAUAUAUAGUAAAUGUUAUCAAUUGACCGUCAUCAAUAUUGAUGUUAAUUCAAUAAAUGUUAUUGAUUGUGUUAUAA